rnacentral:rRNA from 1 species
UCCGUAGGCGGAACUAUAAGUCAGAGGUGAAAUCACACAGCUUAACUGUGUAACUGCCUUUGAUACUGUAGAUCUUGAAUUAGGUUGAGGUUAGCGGAAUGUGACAUGUAGCGGUGAAAUGCAUAGAUAUGUCAUAGAACACCAAUUGCGAAGGCAGCUAGCUAGGCCUAUAUUGACGCUGAGGCACGAAAGCGUGGGGAGCGAACAGGAUUAGAUACCCUGGUAGUCC